AGAGCGAACGCUGGCGGCGUGCUUAACACAUGCAAGUCGAGUGCGCGCCUGUAGCAAUACAGGUGGCGCACGGCGCACGGGUGCGUAACACGUGGGUAAUCUGCCCUUCGAAGGGGAAUAACUCGCCGAAAGGCGAGCUAAUUCCGCAUAACAUUCCGAGAACUUCCGUUUUCGGAUUCAAAGGCGUAAGUCGUCGGAGGAGGAGCCCGCGCACGAUUAGCUAGUUGGUGAGGUAAUGGCUCACCAAGGCUAUGAUCGUUAGC
rnacentral:rRNA from 1 species